rnacentral:rRNA from 1 species
UGGGGAAUUUUGGACAAUGGGCGAAAGCCUGAUCCAGCAAUGCCGCGUGUGUGAAGAAGGCCUUCGGGUUGUAAAGCACUUUUGUCCGGAAAGAAAUCCUUGGCUCUAAUACAGUCGGGGGAUGACGGUACCGGAAGAAUAAGCACCGGCUAACUACGUGCCAGCAGCCGCGGUAAUACGUAGGGUGCAAGCGUUAAUCGGAAUUACUGGGCGUAAAGCGCGCGCAGGCGGUUUGCUAAGACCGAUGUGAAAUCCCCGGGCUCAACCUGGGAACUGCAUUGGUGACUGGCAGGCUAGAGUAUGGCAGAGGGGGGUAGAAUUCCACGUGUAGCAGUGAAAUGCGUAGAGAUGUGGAGGAAUACCGAUGGCGAGGGCAGCCCCCUGGGCAAUACUGACGCUCAUGCACGAAAGCGUGGGGAGCAAACAGGAUUAGAUACCCUGGUAGUCCACGCCCUAAACGAUGUC